UACGUAGGGGCCAAGCGUUGUUCGGAUUUACUGGGCGUAAAGGGCGCGUAGGCGGCGUGACAAGUCACUUGUGAAAUCUCCGGGCUUAACUCGGAACGGUCAAGUGAUACUGUUGUGCUAGAGUGCAGAAGGGGCAAGCGGAAUUCUUGGUGUAGCGGUGAAAUGCGUAGAUAUCAAGAGGAACACCUGAGGUGAAGACGGGUUGCUGGGCUGACACCGACGCUGAGGCGCGAAAGCUAGGGUAGCAAACGGG
rnacentral:rRNA from 1 species